rnacentral:tRNA from 1 species
GGCUUGGUGGUGUAGUUGGUUAUCACGUCAGUCUAACAUUCAAACGUUGGAACACUGAAGGUCCGGAGUUCAAACCUCCGCUAAGUCA